AGGGUUUGUCUCGGGUUUGCUUCCGUGGACCGUCCACUGGAGGAGCUGGGCCCGUGCAGCAGGGCGGGGUGGCCAGGUCUGCGGCAAGCCUGAUAAGGGAUGGCCUGGAGGCUCCGGGUCUCCGGAGGAGCAGCUGAAGCCACGGAGCAGCCGAAGAGCUGGUCCCGGGGAGGAUGCAGCCUGUUUGCUGCUGACCAACUCCGAGGUGGCUUCUGGGGCUGCCCUGGUUAACUGGGGACAAUGACAAUGAUGGAACCAGGGCUCAGGGACCCAGGGGGCCACCCAGGGACACAGGCCUGGGGCCACCUCGGACUAGGAGGACGUGGCUGGCAGCGUUUCCCCAGGGUGUCAACAGCGCCCAGGCCACAGAACUGCUUCCUGACUUGCGCUGUGCGGCUCUGCUGUCCCAGCACAGGCCUGGCCUCCUGGCGAACAACCCGAGCGAGUCUCCGUGAGGAAGCAACAGCGCGGACACGGCAAGCCCACGGGCAGGAUGAGAGCUCGGGCAGGCCGGAGAGCACCCCGGAGGGGCACGCCCAGCUCCCGGGGGUGGGGUGCUACGGUGGGGGGCACAUAGGGACGCCAGCGGGGGCCUCUGCGGUCACUCCCUCUCCAGCUGUGGUGAAACAUCAUUUUCAUCACGACAGGUGACAGCCACCUGCAAGGCCCUCGGGACUACCUGUGCCUAAUCAUCCUCCUCACUUUGACCCGGUGUGUCCCAGCUCACCAGGCCCCUAGGCCCAGCCCCAAUAGACUCUCUCAACCACCCUCUUGAGCAGGUGAUGCAGGUACUCACUGCACAGGCUGCGUUUGUUCAGACAGAUGCUGUCAGGUGGGCUGGACCUACUGUCCAUUCUACCAGCGUGGCGGGGCGGUGGGGGGCAACUCUGUUCUAGGCGCAAGCGGGGUUCCAGGAGCACAGAGAAGGAAGGAGAGUGCAGAGGGGAGCCAAAUAUGGCCUCUGCAUCAGGGUUUGCAAGGAAUUAAUGAAUCUCAAGAGGAGGCAGGUGGGUAAACAGAUAACUCUGAUUAUAUCCAGACAGAGCUGAGAAGGAGGGACACGGCCUCCAGAAGAAGUACAGGGGAGCGGUGAUGUGAUUCAGAAGAGUUGUCUCAAUUCUAAAAGGAAAUUUUAAGAAAAUGCUGAUUCUUAGAAAAAAAAAGUUAUAGAAUAAUUAAGAAGCAAUAUGCACUUGGAGUACAAAGAUCAGGGCAGCCCCGGUGGGUGGCUCAGCUGUUUAGCACCUGCCUUCGGCCCAGAGCGUGACCCCGGGGUCCCGGGAUCGACUCCCGCGUCGGGCUCCCUGCAUGGAGCCUGCUUCUCCCUUUGCCUGUGUCUCUGCCUCCCUCUCUGUGUCUCUCACAAAUAAAUAAAUAAAAUCUUUAAAAAAUAAUCA
rnacentral:lncRNA from 12 species